GGGUCAAAUAGGCAAGGCAUAUCGAUAGGAUAAUAGGCUUGUACGCAAGGUCAAGUAUAGGCUAGAGAGAAAGACCGGUAUAUGUUUAUGUUGAGAAGAAAUGCAUUGUUUGAUUUCCGAAGCAAGUAAAGGCGCGCAACGAAAGGCAUGCAUGUUUCAUUUGCAGGUGCUGCCGGUCUUCGGCUGAGCUUACUAAAUAAAAGAAAGCACGACCUGGAAUCGUAAAUAGACGAAGUGGUGUUUUUUCCUUUCCUUGAGGAUCUAUGCUUUUCAUGGCUCUCUUUCUAACGUGGAUGACAGGUUUCAAAUAGUGGAUCAGUUUCUUAAUUUUCUAAGUGCUUUUCGUUGCCUUCUUCUUAUCUUUAUGUACCCUAGAAAAAGAGAAGAAUCUUCACCAUUACCAUCACCUCCAAUGGUUGGCGUCCCUUUAAUUGUCAUUUAGUAGUAGAUAGGUUUGUUGAGGACAUAAUCUCCCAGCCUUAUUCAUGCAUGAUAAAGGUAGCCUUUCAUAGUCCAAAGCCUUUGUGUGCUUUUGUAUUGAACUCUUUUCUACAACGUUGAAGGAUUGCCUUACGGGAUUAGCAAUGGCUUAAUAAAAGGAUUCAAAAAGGGCUUCUCUUAGGUCCCAUACUAGAUGACCACCCGGAACUGGAUGUACUCGUACUAGAACAUUUGGUGAUUACCCACCGGGACUUCCUACUAAGUAUUUGACACUUCCAUCAAGAAGAAAACUCUAAAGUACUCAAUCAAUGCGAAU
rnacentral:lncRNA from 7 species